GCCUGGAUAGCUGAGUUGGUUAGAGUGUGGUGCGCCAUGGUUGCAGGUUUAAUCCCUGUAUGGGGCA